UUGGUAUCUUAGUGGCGGACGGGUGAGUAACGCGUGGGUAACCUGCCUUACACUGGGGGAUAACACUUAGAAAUAGGUGCUAAUACCGCAUAACAGGAGAAGACGCAUGUCUUUUCCUUGAAAACUCCGGUGGUGUAAGAUGGACCCGCGUCUGAUUAGCUGGUUGGCGGGGUAACGGCCCACCAAGGCGACGAUCAGUAGCCGGCCUGAGAGGGUGGACGGCCACAUUGGGACUGAGACACGGCCCAAACUCCUACGGAAGGCAGCAG
rnacentral:rRNA from 1 species